rnacentral:rRNA from 1 species
GACGAACGCUGGCGGCGUGCUUAACACAUGCAAGUCGAACGGAAAGGCCCUGCUUUUGUGGGGUGCUCGAGUGGCGAACGGGUGAGUAACACGUGAGUAACCUGCCCUUGACUUUGGGAUAACUUCAGGAAACUGGGGCUAAUACCGGAUAGGAGCUCCUGCUGCAUGGUUGGGGUUGGAAAGUUUCGGCGGUUGGGGAUGGACUCGCGGCUUAUCAGCUUGUUGGUGGGGUAGUGGCUUACCAAGGCUUUGACGGGUAGCCGGCCUGAGAGGGUGACCGGCCACAUUGGGACUGAGGUACGGCCCAGACUCCUACGGGAGGCAGCAGUGGGGAAUAUUGCACAAUGGGCGGAAGACUGAUGCAGCAACGCCGCGUGCGGGAUGACGGCCUUCGGGUUGUAAACCGCUUUCGCCUGUGACGAAGCGUGAGUGACGGUAAUGGGUAAAGAAGCACCGGCUAACUACGUG